rnacentral:lncRNA from 13 species
AUGGUUCCAGCUUCCAAGACACCCCGAGGCCUCCUUGGCUACUUCGUAAUCAGACCAGGCCUGGUCUCCUCUCAAGACAGUCAGUGGUCGGGGAUCAGAGGCAGCACUCAUCACAGCAGAGAGGCAGGACCAGCUGGGAGAGGCCCUUCUGUAACACCUACUGCAUCACCAGGCUGUGUGAACGGACUCAGCUGCCAGAACGCACAGAGUAUCAUUCCACACCGAAACCUCACGGGAAAUGCUCUGGCUCCAUGUUUUAGCUCCACAACCCUCAGACUUAAACAGCAGCACCGGCUCCUCCCCAGAUUCCAGCUCCUCGACCCUCAAACAUCAACUACAGUGCCAGCUCCUCCCCGGGUCUACAGCUCCACAAACCUCAAACUACAGCUGCAGCACCAGCUCCUCCCCGGGUCUCCAGCUCCACAAUCCUCAAACUACAACAGCAGCACCGGCUCCUCCCCGGGUCUCCAGCUUCCUGACCCUCAAACAUCAACAGCAACACUAGCUCCUCCCCAGGUCUCCAGAUUCAUGAUCCUCAAAUUACAGCAGCAGCACCGGCUCCUCCCUGGGUCUCCAGCUCAACAACUCUCAGACUUGAGAGGCAGCACUGGCUCCUCCCGAAGCCUCCAGCUCCCCAACCCUAAAACUACAACAGCAGCACCAGCUCCUCCCUGGAUCUCCAGCUCACAACCUUCAAACUUCAACUGUGCUCCUCCCUGAGGCCAUCAUCUCCAUGACCCUCAGAAUUGCAUGGUGAUAGCACCGGCUCCUCCCUGGAUCUCCAGCUCAAUGACUCUCAGACUUGAAAGGCAGCAUCGGCUCCUCACCAAGGCUCCAGCUCCAAGACCCUCACACUAGAACAGCAGCAGCAGCUGCACCUUGGGUCUCCAGCUCCACCACCCUCAAAGAAGAACAGCAGCACCGGCUCCUCCCUGGGUCUCCAGCUCCACCACCCUCAGAUCUGAAUACCAGUAGCACCAGCUCCUGUCUGGGUCUCCAGUUCUAUGACCUUCAAACUAGAACAACGGCACCAGUUCCUCCCAGAGUCUCAAGCUCCACGACCCUCAGACCUAAACAAAAACAACACUGGCUCCUCCCUGGGUCUCCAGCUUCAACCCAAGACCCUCAAACAAGAACAGCAGCACCAGCUCCUCCCCAGGGCUCCAGCUCCACCAUCCUCAGACUUAAACAAUAACAACAGCAGCUCCUCUGUGGGUCUCCAGCUCCACGACUCUCAAACAAAAACACCACCACUCCUCCCUGGGUUUCCAGCUCCAUGACCCUCGAACUAGAACAACACUGCACCUCCCUGGGUCUCCAGCUCGACAACCCUCCCCCUAGAACAGCAGCACUUCCUUGCACCUCCAGCUCAACAACUCUCAUACUUGAAAGACAGCACCUCAUUACCAAUCCCUUCUCAUGAAAUUCAGCAGUCAAGAAAACUGCAGAGGAAGUAAAUGAAUAAAUGUUUUGCUUUCAAAUCGAUGUUUCUUUUA